UACAGAUCCUCCAUAUGUCCCUCAUGGCCCCCACAGAACCCCCACUCUUCCUCCUCUCCUUUUUACUGCAGGUGUCUCCCCAGGAAUGACUGAGGCCGUGCAGAUCCCCGUACCCCCCAUUGACAGCGAGGACCUGACCUACGCCGAGAUGCAAGAUGCCACCCCGUGCUCCCAGCCCUCCACUUCCCACACUGCCCCUCAGUCCCCCGUUAUCUACACCAAAGUGAACACUGGGUUACCGUGCUGAUGGACUCCCCAGCUGCCUCAUUUAUGGGGUGCGCUGAAGGGGACAGACCCUAAAUUCCCCGCUUGGGACUUCCUGGUGUUCUGUUCUAACCCCAGACCAGAUAACCUCCCCAAAUCUAACAAUCCCAUUUCCCACCAGUGCACCACAAAUGCUUCCCAGUCACACCAAAUCCCUAAACGCUCAUCUCUUACCCCAAAAUCCUUCUUUAUCCCCUCAAAUCUCUUAACACCACCCCCUGAGACCUCCAAAUCCUCUCCAGUCCACUCCAAAUCACUACCACCAUUUCUGAGAGAUCUGUCCCCUUCUACCCCCGCUCUGGAGAGUCCCCCAAAAUGUCCCUUUCCUUCCUUUGCUUCUCCCACAGAUACCCUAUACGUCCCCUAUAGAUCCUCCCAAAAUUCCCUGCCUCCCAUUCUGUCCUGCUUCUACCUUUGGUCUUUGUGUCGUGAGCAAUUGCUUUGUACAUCAUCUGCUUUGGAAAAAUAUAAACAUAUCUAAUUAUCAUUACUGUUGUUUCUCUAUUUCUAUUCUGUCUAAGUAAACAGUUUUAUCUCAA